GCAGACGUCCCUUCCCCAGCCAGGCUGCCACCUCGCAGUUCAAUCUCAGACUGCUGUGCUAGCAGUGGGGAAGGCUCCGUGGGCAUGGAAACUGCCGAGCCAGGCACAGUAGAGAAUCACCUUGUCUGCCGGUUGCUAAGACCUUUGGAAAAGUGCAGUAUUUGGGUGAGAGUGUCCUAUUUUUCCAGGUACAGUCUGUCACGUCUUCCCUUGGCUAGGAAAGGGAAAUCCCCCGACCCCUUACACUUUCCGGGUGAGGCAACGCCCCACUCUGCUUCAGCUCACCCUCCAUGGGCUGCACUCACCUUCCAACCAGUCUCAAUGAGAUGAACCAGGUACCUCAGUUGGAAAUGCAGAAAUCACCCGUCUUCUGCGUCAAUCACGCUGAGAACUGCAGACCAGAGCUGUUCCUAUUUGGCCAUCUUGGAACCGGUCUGAGUCUGUUUUAGCCAGAUCAAGUACUUGACUUCUCCUAUGGAGAAUGCAGCAAGAAAAUACCAUCUUGAAGCAGAGAGCAGCGCUCAUCAGGCAUCAGUCCUUCUGGAGCCUUGAUCUUGGACCUCCCAGCUCCAAAAUAAUAAGUAAUAAAUUGUUAUUGCUUAUAAAUU
rnacentral:lncRNA from 1 species